UACAGAGGGUGCGAGCGUUAAUCGGAAUUACUGGGCGUAAAGCGUGCGUAGACGGUAGCGUAAGUCAGAUGUGAAAGCCCCGGGCUCAACCUGGGAACUGCAUUUGAGACUGCUCUGCUCGGGUGCGGAAGAGGGAAGCGGAAUUUCCGGUGUAGCGGUGAAAUGCGUAGAUAUCGGAAGGAACACCUGUGGCGAAAGCGGCUCACUGGACCAUUACUGACGCUGAUGCACGAAAGCUAGGGGAGCAACCAGG
rnacentral:rRNA from 1 species